rnacentral:rRNA from 1 species
UGCUUAACACAUGCAAGUCGAACGGAAAGGCCCCUUCGGGGGUACUCGAGUGGCGAACGGGUGAGUAACACGUGGGUAAUCUGCCCUGCACUUCGGGAUAAGCCUGGGAAACUGGGUCUAAUACCGGAUAGGACCUCGAGGCGCAUGCCUUGUGGUGGAAAGCUUUUGCGGUGUGGGAUGGGCCCGCGGCCUAUCAGCUUGUUGGUGGGGUGACGGCCUACCAAGGCGACGACGGGUAGCCGGCCUGAGAGGGUGUCCGGCCACACUGGGACUGAGAUACGGCCCAGACUCCUACGGGAGGCAGCAGUGGGGAAUAUUGCACAAUGGGCGCAAGCCUGAUGCAGCGACGCCGCGUGGGGGAUGACGGCCUUCGGGUUGUAAACCUCUUUCAGCAGGGACGAAGCGCAAGUGACGGUACCUGCAGAAGAAGCACCGGCCAACUACGUGCCAGCAGCCGCGGUAAUACGUAGGGUGCGAGCGUUGUCCGGAAUUACUGGGCGUAAAGAGCUCGUAGGUGGU